UCAUCGACGAUCCCGACACGUGUGUGUUUACCCACAGCUACACACCGCGUCCACGUACACGGUGUAUCGAAAUUCCAUUACGUUGCUUUUUUCCGACCAGGCUGUAUGCCAUUUAAGAGCAACAGUAUUCGCGAUCGUUACCUCGACCGAUCGACUUCGCCGCGACCAUCAUUUUCACGGCUGGAAACAGCAACGAGUUACACAAUUGCGAAUACUACUUACCGGUACAGCGGUGACGGACGCAGACGAGAAUUAUCGGGAUCGAUUGUUUCGAUUUCAACGUUUCAGAAUUUGAAUCGUGCGGGAGCACAGAACCCUGAAUCGAUAGCCGCAUCGAUAGAUCAUUCGAUCGAAACUACGUCAAAGAGCAGAGAGAGAGACACGAGCAAUGAACUGAAGCAUUCAAACCAUGAUAUUCGGAAUCGAUUAACGUUAUCGGCCCGUCGAAGUGUAUACACCAUAGGCACGGGGGAACGUGCCUGGGACGAUCGAACAGGUCUCGAAGGACCGGGCAGCGCCCAAAUUUUCGGACACCCUGUACGUACAACGCAUACCGUGUGCCUGAUGCUGGCGCGCGUCCUUGGGAUCUCCACCAUGACUCGAAUCGAAAAGGAGCCGUAGGUGUACGACCCAUGUCCGUGGCUCGAUUGUGUUACCUGUUGAGCUUACCAUGCUUCAUGGAGAUAUCGCUAGUGGAAAGUUUCGUCAGACGAAAGUGGUUUAUUGCGCGCGACCAUUCACCGCGGUUAAAUCGCGCGAUCCACCGUCCAAUUGUCCGAGCAACGUGGCCGAAUAGUGGAAACAGUAUACAUGCAUACCAUACCGUGCGCGCUAUAGUGGACAGUUUUGGCGGAAAAUACAAACCGGACGGAUGGUGUCGUCUUUAACGUUUCUGUGGUGAUCUUCGAGCUUCGGCAGGCUGACCGGUCGUCG